rnacentral:rRNA from 1 species
GAUGAACGCUGGCGGCGUGCCUAAUACAUGCAAGUCGAGCGAACAGACGAGGAGCUUGCUCCUCUGACGUUAGCGGCGGACGGGUGAGUAACACGUGGAUAACCUACCUAUAAGACUGGGAUAACUUCGGGAAACCGUAGCUAAUACCGGAUAAUAUAUUGAACCGCAUGGUUCAAUAGUGAAAGACGGUUUUGCUGUAACUUAUAGAUGGAUCCGCGCCGCAUUAGCUAGUUGGUAAGGUAACGGCUUACCAAGGCAACAAUGCGUAGCCGACCUGAGCGGGUGAUCGGCCACACGGGAACUGAGACACGGUCCAGACUCCUACGGGAGGCAGCAGUAGGGAAUCUUCCGCAAUGGGCGAAAGCCUGACGGAGCAACGCCGCGUGAGUGAUGAAGGUCUUCGGAUCGUAAAACUCUGUUAUUAGGGAAGAACAAAUGUGUAAGUAACUAUGCACGUCUUGACGGUACCUAAGCAGAAAGCCACGGCUAACUACGUG